CUGCGCAGUAGCGACCCGGCGGCGUCAGCGCGCGCUCUCCUGGCCCAGCCGCGCGGAAUUAACUACUGGAGGCCAGAGGCUCCGGAAAUGCUUUUGGGCGGAGAUGUGACCCCUUUCUGCAUUUCCAGGCUUUUCCACCCCACUAAGUGCCAUGGGAAACACCCUGCCAAUCUUACCAUUAGGCCCCUGUGUGAACUAGGAAAUGCUGAAAAAUGAGAGCAGAAGGGAUCAAACUUGGACCUUGCGCUUGUGAAGCAGGCUCUGGAACCACUAAGCUAAAUCCCUGGAAGC